rnacentral:misc_RNA from 1 species
UCAACCACCAGUCCCACCUUUCCCCAC